rnacentral:lncRNA from 1 species
UUUGCUUUCAUCCUGCUCGGGUUAGUUGAUGACUGAAUAGGGACAGCUGUAACACCCCAAAAUUUUCCCUCCUCAUUCAUGCAUUCAUUCAUUUUUAGAUCAUUUAACAUUUCUUAUUGCAUUUCAUCAUGUCAAUCAGAAUCAGAUCCAAGAAACUUUAUUUAAAAAUAAAAAAAACUAAAAAAAAAAACUAAAAAAAAAGAAAAAUAAAAAAACAAAUAAAUAAACGAAAAAAUAAAAAUAAAAUUAAUUAAUUAAAUAAAUAAAAAAUCUCAAACUUGGACCUCUCUCAAAAGCCCACUAAGCUACCAAUAUUAGCCUAUAAAUACUAAAGUUUCAUUGAAAC